UCUUCAUCCAGUAACAGACCUGGAGUCAUAUCAAGGGACACUGGUGGAGAAGUCAAGUCACAUUGGAACAGGCAGUUGAGCACCCAAAUGAGAGACUGAUUGCUUUGAACAAUGCUGCUGCCUUCCUCCCGGUGCUUGUUAUCAUUAUUUGAAAUCACAGAAAGGAGCUGAUUCACCAAACUGAAUCACUCACAUAAUGACCAAAGUUCUAGAAGCUUGUGCCCUGGGGCCCAGGGGCUGGACUCUUUCUGCUUUGGAUGUGAUAACUGUGCUGCCAGUUCAAAUGGUAAGGUUUGCAGGAACUCUUUAGUCUCUUCCUUUAAAUUAAAAAAUGAACUUUGCCAUUUUGUUCUUUGACAAAGAACAACCCCUUUUAUAAAUAAAGUUUUUUUUUUUUUCUCGUUUAGCUAUGAGCCACAAU